AACGAACGCUGGCGGCAUGCCUAACACAUGCAAGUCGAACGAGACCUUCGGGUCUAGUGGCGCACGGGUGCGUAACGCGUGGGAAUCUGCCCUAGGGUGCGGAAUAACUCGGAGAAAUCCGUGCUAAUACCGCAUAAUGUCUUCGGACCAAAGAUUUAUUGCCCUGGGAUGAGCCCGCGUAGGAUUAGCUAGUUGGUGGGGUAAAGGCCUACCAAGGCGACGAUCCUUAGCUGGUCUGAGAGGAUGAUCAGCCACACUGGGACUGAGACACGGCCCAGACUCCUACGGGAGGCAGCAGUGGGGAAUAUUGGACAAUGGGCGAAAGCCUGAUCCAGCAAUGCCGCGUGAGUGAUGAAGGCCCUAGGGUUGUAAAGCUCUUUUACCCGGGAUGAUAAUGACAGUACCGGGAGAAUAAGCUCCGGCUAACUCCGUGCCAGCAGCCGACGGUAAAGUGUGUGUA
rnacentral:rRNA from 1 species